AUCCAGCUGACGAGUCCCAAAUAGGACGAAACGCGAGUCCAACUGGAU
rfam:Schistosoma rodhaini strain Burundi genome assembly, scaffold: SROB_scaffold0000533